AACGUAGGUGGCGAGCGUUAUCCGGAUUUACUGGGCGUAAAGCGUGUGCAGACGGGGUGAUAAGUGGUGUAUGAAAGCGUCAUGCUCAACAUGGCAAGCGUAUGCCAGACUGCCACUCUUGAGGGCGAGAGAAGGAUGUGGAAUUCCCGGUGUAGCAGUGAAAUGCGUAGAGAUCGGGAGGAACAUCCAUGGCGAAGGCAGCCACCUGGGUCAACAUUGACACUGAGAGACGAAAGCGUGGGGAGCAAACAGG
rnacentral:rRNA from 1 species